UAAAUCAUCGACAGGGUCAGGCUGGGCCGAGAGCUAAGGCUCAUCUCGCUUUGAAUGAGCAGCGGCAGGUCCCUCACUGUCACUACGCUGUGAACAGAUGGUGAGCAUCCCUGCCUAUUAUACCCAGACCUGUGUUUGUAAAGGGAAGCAGCUGAGGGAUAAACAGAGAGAGAGAGAGAGAGAGAGAAAGGCACCAAGAAGAAAGACCAGCGACUAUAUGCUCACACAGAUUUUAUAACCCUGUAUGAGCCAAGGAACGUAACUCCCUGUAUGCAAGUCGAUCAUCGCCGCAACUUGACAUCCUGACCCGGACAUUUAAUUUAUUGAUCUUCAUUUUAUACGGAUGUAAAGACCUUUUGCUCUUUUAAAUUAAUCCAGGUUAAUUUGGCCAGGCCCCCUAUCCCACCCAGCAUGAAUGGGCCCUCUGUUGGGCAGAGCAGGCCCUGGCCACCCAGUUUUAUGGGAAUCUGCAGUGAAUUAGAAAAUCUGUCAAUGCGAGAGGAGCUGUGCGGCGCGGAUAUGCCGUGUCACUCCACCUGUAAAAGAACUGCUCUUUGUCCAUUAUCUCCCAGGCUUACCUGAGGAGAGUUAACCUUGAGGUCAAUAACAUCUCCAUGGUGUUUCAUGACUGGCUGGGCUUGGGCUGGGGGGUCUGAGGAGAGCCAUUGUUAGAAUUCAGGCUGCAGACCCACAUUUCCUCCAGCUUUUGCUCUCCUCAUCAAAUACCUCUGGGAAACAGAUCUGUAAGGAGCAGCGGAGAGAGCCGUAAAGAUGCGAUCACUUUCACAGGAAAGGGUGGCCACUGUGCUAGUUUGUCUUCAUUGUGCUUAAUAUAAACACCUCAUUUCUUUGCAUAAAAUUACACCUUCCAGGUAUGUUUCAGCAUGAUUUAAUUUCUUGGCACCAUAGAAGACUUUAUCCUGGCAAUGUUUAACUCAAUCAUCAUAGCUACAUAUAAUGCACAGCUCCAGACCCAAAAUCUUUCCAUGAGCCAGUCUAUAGACAGAAAACUAAAAAUUCAGAGCCUUUUGGCUGCCUUAGGUCUUUUACUCAUUUCAUGUGACUCUGGCUUUUUUUUUCCUUGAGUAGGUUUUCAUUUAAGCAUGUUGGUAUUGCAGGCUAAGCAUUGGAUUGGUGUGUGAUUAGUUUUUCUGCUGCCCUUGCUAUAAUUUCCCGCCUGCUGGAAAUAACGAGUAAGAUUAAAAUAAAUACUUUGUCUGCCAGGCAGAAAACAACCAUUUUGUCACUGUGGUGUAUAUAGUGGUUUGCAAAACCAUUCACAGUCCUUUAACUUUCCCACAUGUUGUCACGCCACAACCACAA